rnacentral:rRNA from 1 species
GUGAUGCGCGCAGCCUGAUCCAGCAUGCCGCGUGCAGGAAGAAGGCCUUCGGGUUGUAAACUGCUUUUGUCAGGGAAGAAAUCUUCUGGGUUAAUACCUCGGGAGGAUGACGGUACCUGAAGAAUAAGCACCGGCUAACUACGUGCCAGCAGCCGCGGUAAUACGUAGGGUGCGAGCGUUAAUCGGAAUUACUGGGCGUAAAGCGUGCGCAGGCGGCUUUGCAAGACAGAUGUGAAAUCCCCGGGCUCAACCUGGGAACUGCAUUUGUGACUGCAAGGCUAGAGUACGGCAGAGGGGGAUGGAAUUCCGCGUGUAGCAGUGAAAUGCGUAGAUAUGCGGAGGAACACCAAUGGCGAAGGCAAUCCCCUGGGCCUGUACUGACGCUCAUGCACGAAAGCGUGGGGAGCAAACAGGAUUAGAUACCCUGGUAGUCCACGCCCUAAACGAUGUCAACUGGUUGUUGGACGGCUUGCUGUUCAGUAACGAAGCUAACGCGUGAAGUUGACCGCCUGGGGAGUACGGCCGCAAGGUUGAAACUCAAAUGAAUUUGACGGA